rnacentral:rRNA from 1 species
AGAGUUUGAUCAUGGCUCAGNNNGAACGCUGGCGGCGUGCUUAACACAUGCAAGUCGAACGAGGGCCGUAGCAAUACGGUUACUCGUGGCGGACGGGUGCGUAACACGUGGAUAACCUUCCUUCAGGUGGGGAAUAACCCAGUGAAAAUUGGGCUAAUACCGCAUAACAAUGCGAGGGCACAUGCUCUUGCAUUCAAAGGCGCAAGUCGCCAGAAGAGGGAUCCGCGGCCGAUUAGCUUGUUGGCGGGGUAACGGCCCACCAAGGCAUUGAUCGGUAGCCGGACUGAGAGGUUGGCCGGCCACACUGGAACUGAGACACGGUCCAGACUCCUACGGGAGGCAGCAGUGGGGAAUCUUGCACAAUGGGCGAAAGCCUGAUGCAGCAACGCCGCGUGGGGGAUGAAGCUUCUCGGAGUGUAAACCCCUUUCGACCCGGAAGAAUGCCCGCAAGGGCUUGACGGUACGGGUAUAAGAAGCCCCGGCUAACUACGUGCCAGCAGCCGCGGUAAUACGUAGGGGGCCAGCGUUGCUCGGAAUUACUGGGCGUAAAGGGUCCGUAGGCGGUGUGGCAAGUCGGGAGUGAAAUCUCUGGGCUUAACCCAGAGGCUGCUUCCGAAACUGCCAUGCUAGAGUGUGAGAGAGGCGAGUGGAAUUACGGGUGUAGCGGUGAAAUGCGUAGAUAUCCGUAGGAACAUCCGAGGCGAAGGCGGCUCGCUGGAUCACAACUGACGCUGAGGGACGAAAGCUAGGGGAGCAAACAGGAUUAGAUACCCUAGUAGUCC